UACGUAGGGGGCAAGCGUUGUCCGGAAUCAUUGGGCGUAAAGCGCGUGUAGGCGGUCCGGUAAGUCCGCUGUGAAAGUCGGGGGCUCAACCCUCGGAUGCCGGUGGAUACUGUCGGGCUUGAGUACGGAAGAGGCGAGUGGAAUUCCUGGUGUAGCGGUGAAAUGCGCAGAUAUCAGGAGGAACACCAAUUGCGAAGGCAGCUCGCUGGGACGUUACUGACGCUGAGGCGCGAAAGCGUGGGGAGCAAACAGG
rnacentral:rRNA from 1 species